rnacentral:rRNA from 1 species
CAGCUUGUUGGUGGGGUAAUGGCCUACCAAGGCGACGACGGGUAGCCGGCCUGAGAGGGCGACCGGCCACACUGGGACUGAGACACGGCCCAGACUCCUACGGGAGGCAGCAGUGGGGAAUAUUGCACAAUGGGCGGAAGCCUGAUGCAGCGACGCCGCGUGAGGGAUGAAGGCCUUCGGGUUGUAAACCUCUUUCAGCAGGGACGAAGCGUAAGUGACGGUACCUGCAGAAGAAGCACCGGCCAACUACGUGCCAGCAGCCGCGGUAAGACGUAGGGUGCGAGCGUUGUCCGGAAUUAUUGGGCGUAAAGAGCUUGUAGGCGGCUUGUUGCGUCGGCUGUGAAAACCCGCGGCUCAACCGCGGGCUUGCAGCCGAUACGGGCAGGCUAGAGUUCGGUAGGGGAGACUGGAAUUCCUGGUGUAGCGGUGAAAUGCGCAGAUAUCAGGAGGAACACCGGUGGCGAAGGCGGGUCUCUGGGCCGAUACUGACGCUGAGAAGCGAAAGCGUGGGGAGCGAACAGGAUUAGAUACCCUGGUAGUCCACGCUGUAAACGUUGGGCGCUAGGUGUGGGGGACCUCUCCGGUUCUCUGUGCCGCAGCUAACGCAUUAAGCGCCCCGCC